UUUCACCACUCGGUACCCCAGAGCGCGUAGGCCUCAAGGGCGUGAUUGGAAGUGUCUGCCUUCCAAGGAGUGACCAUAAAGAGGCAUUUUCUGAACCUAUUCUUAGCGCUCUUAUCUCCUCAGAUGUAGGAGCCAGACCAAGCAGGGCAAGGAAAUCAGAGUAGACACUGAAGAGAAGAAACCAAGGGGCCUGAAAUCCCAAGUGACUGAGCUGCUAUUUCGAAGGUUGAUUACUUGGUAUCCAUCGACAUCGGCAUGCAACUGGAGACCUCAUGCAGAGAUGUUUUCAUUUCAACGGACUAAGCUUGCAGGCUAAGGAUGUUUAAAGGUUCCCUUUCAACAUCACUGAUAAGAGAUCAUCAUUUCUGAAGUAGUUCCGUGCUGUACUGGUGUCUCUUUGGAGAUCCACCUUUGCAACAGCAGAAUGGCACAAAAUCAGCCGUGCCACGGAAAGAACCAGCAAGUUUUCUGCACUCUACAGUGUAACCAAGAAUGUGGGAAAUAAAGUGCUGAUAUAUUGACUCAUUUAAGUUUCACCACAAUUCUCUGGUAGGUACUCUUACUAUAUCUAUUUCACAG